AUUGAACGCUGGCGGCAUGCCUUACACAUGCAAGUCGAACGGUAACAGGUCUUCGGAUGCUGACGAGUGGCGAACGGGUGAGCAAUACAUCGGAACGUGCCUAGUAGUGGGGGAUAACUACUCGAAAGAGUGGCUAAUACCGCAUGAGAUCUACGGAUGAAAGCAGGGGAUCGCAAGACCUUGUGCUACUAGAGCGGCCGAUGGCAGAUUAGGUAGUUGGUGGGAUAAAAGCUUACCAAGCCGACGAUCUGUAGCUGGUCUGAGAGGACGAUCAGCCACACUGGGACUGAGACACGGCCCAGACUCCUACGGGAGGCAGCAGUGGGGAAUUUUGGACAAUGGGCGAAAGCCUGAUCCAGCAAUGCCGCGUGCAGGAUGAAGGCCUUCGGGUUGUAAACUGCUUUUGUACGGAACGAAAAGCCCCGGGUUAAUACCCUGGAGUCAUGACGGUACCGUAAGAAUAAGCACCGGCUAACUACGUGCCAGCCGCCGCAGUAA
rnacentral:rRNA from 1 species